UACACUACAAUUUUAAAAAAAUUGCUCUCCAAAGAAGUAUACUAGAAAUAUCCAUAUGUGGAGUUAUAUAACUCAAAGAAAAAGAAGUUAAACUCUUAAUUCAAACUUACUGGAUAGCUGAUAAUACAAGUAAAAAAAUGCUGGCAUUUAUAGAUACUGGCAAGACUUAGGAUUCGAAUUUUAUCAUUGACCAUAUGA
ensembl:misc_RNA